rnacentral:rRNA from 1 species
GGUUCGAUUAUGGCUCAGAUUGAACGUUGGCGGGAUGCUUACACAUGCAAGUCGAACGGCAGCACGGACUUCGGUCUGGUGGCGAGUGGCAACGGGUGAGUAAUGUAUCGGAACGUGCCUAGUAGCGGGGAUAACUACAUGAAAGCGUAGCUAAUACCGCAUACGCCCUUCGGGGGAAAGCGGGGACCUUUCUCGCCUCGCACUAUUAGAGCGGCCGAUUAGCGAAGCUGGUGGGGUAACGGCUCACCAAGCGCGACGAUCCGUAGCUGGUUUGAGAGGACGACCAGCCACACUGGGACUGAGACACGGCCCAGACUUACGGAGCAGCAGUGGGGAAUUUUGGACAAUGGGGAAACUCCUGAUCCAGCCAUCCCGCGUGUGCGAUGAAGGCCUUCGGUUGUAAAGCACUUGGCAGUAGAAGAAACGGCACGGAUAAUACCCCGUGCAACUGACGGUACCUGCAGAAUAAGCACCGCUAACUACGUGCCAGCAGCCGCGGUAAUACGUAGGGGUGCAAGCGUUAACCGGAAUUACUAAAGCGGAAGCGUGCGCAGGCGGUUCGAAAGAAAGAUGUGAAAUCCCAGAGCUUAACGUUGGAACUGCAUUUUUAACUACCGAGCUAGAGUGUGUCAGAGGGAGGUGGAAUUCCGCGUGUAGCAGUGAAAAUGCGUAGAUAUGCGGAGGAACACCGAUGGCGAAGGCAGCUUCCUGGGAUAACACUGACGCUCAUGCACGAAAGCGUGGGGAGCAAACAGGAUUGAUACCCUGGUAGUCCACGCCCUAAACGAUGUCAACUAGCCGUUGGGCCUUUCGGGCCUUGGUAUGCAGCUAACGCGUGAAGUUGACCGCCUGGGGGAGUACGGUCGCAAGAUUGCAACCAAAGGAAUUGACGGGACUCCGCACAAGCGGUGGAUGAUGUGGAUUAAUUCGAUGCAACGCGAAAACCUUACCUACCCUUGGACAUGUCUGGAAUCCCGAAGAGAUUUGGGAGUGCUCGCAGCAUCCGGAACACAGGUGCUGCAUGGCUGUCGUCAGCUCGUGCCGAGAUGUUGGGUUAAGUCCCGCAACGAGCGCAACCCUGUCAUUAGUUGCUACGAAAGGGCACUCUAACGAGACUGCCGGUGACAAACCGGAGGAAGGUGGGGAUGACGUCAAGUCCUCAUGGCCCUUAUGGGUAGGGCUUCACACGUCAUACAAUGGUCGGGACAGGCCGCUAACCCGCGAGGGGGGAGCCAAUCCCAGAAACCCGAUCGUAGUCCGGAUCGCAGUCUGCAACUCGACUGCGUGAAGUCGGAAUCGCUAGUAAUCGCGGAUCAGCAUGCCGUGAAUACGUUCCCGGUCUUGUACACACCGCCCGUCACACCAAGGUAAGGGUUUUACCAGAAGUAGUUAGCCUAACCGUAAGGGAGGCAGCGAUUACCACGGUAGGAUUCAUGACUGGGGUGAAGUCAGUAACAAGGUAA